AACGAACGCUGGCGGCAGGCUUAACACAUGCAAGUCGAACGCCCCGCAAGAGGAGUGGCAGACGGGUGAGUAACGCGUGGGAACCUACCCAAAGGUACGGAACAACCAAGGGAAACUUUGGCUAAUACCGUAUACGCCCCAAGGGGGAAAGAUUUAUCGCCUUUGGACGGGCCCGCGUUGGAUUAGCUUGUUGGUGGGGUAACGGCCUACCAAGGCGACGAUCCAUAGCUGGUCUGAGAGGAUGAUCAGCCACACUGGGACUGAGACACGGCCCAGACUCCUACGGGAGGCAGCAGUGGGGAAUCUUGGACAAUGGGCGAAAGCCUGAUCCAGCCAUGCCGCGUGAGUGAAGAAGGCCUUAGGGUUGUAAAGCUCUUUCGGCGGGGACGAUAAUGACGGUACCCGCAGAAGAAGCCCCGGCUAACUCCGUGCCAGCCGCCGCCGUAAAAC
rnacentral:rRNA from 1 species